GGUGGCUUAGACAGUAAAGAAUCUGCCUGCAAUGCAGGAAAUCUGGGUUUGAUCCCCAGACCA
rnacentral:tRNA from 1 species